rnacentral:rRNA from 1 species
UAAAUGAAACUAGAUACAAGCGAGCGGCGGACGGGUGAGUAACACGUGGGUAACCUGCCCAAGAGACUGGGAUAACACCUGGAAACAGAUGCUAAUACCGGAUAACAACACUAGACGCAUGUCUAGAGUUUGAAAGAUGGUUCUGCUAUCACUCUUGGAUGGACCUGCGGUGCAUUAGCUAGUUGGUAAGGUAACGGCUUACCAAGGCAAUGAUGCAUAGCCGAGUUGAGAGACUGAUCGGCCACAUUGGGACUGAGACACGGCCCAAACUCCUACGGGAGGCAGCAGUAGGGAAUCUUCCACAAUGGACGAAAGUCUGAUGGAGCAACGCCGCGUGAGUGAAGAAGGGUUUCGGCUCGUAAAGCUCUGUUGGUAGUGAAGAAAGAUAGAGGUAGUAACUGGCCUUUAUUUGACGGUAAUUACUUAGAAAGUCACGGCUAACUACGUGCCAGCAGCCGCGGUAAUACGUAGGUGGCAAGCGUUGUCCGGAUUUAUUGGGCGUAAAGCGAGUGCAGGCGGUUCAAUAAGUCUGAUGUGAAAGCCUUCGGCUCAACCGGAGAAUUGCAUCAGAAACUGUUGAACUUGAGUGCAGAAGAGGAGAGUGGAACUCCAUGUGUAGCGGUGGAAUGCGUAGAUAUAUGGAAGAACACCAGUGGCGAAGGCGGCUCUCUGGUCUGCAACUGACGCUGAGGCUCGAAAGCAUGGGUAGCGAACAG